rnacentral:rRNA from 1 species
GACGAACGCUGGCGGCGUGCUUAACACAUGCAAGUCGAACGGAAAGGCCCUGCUUUUGUGGGGUGCUCGAGUGGCGAACGGGUGAGUAACACGUGAGUAACCUGCCCUUGACUUUGGGAUAACUUCAGGAAACUGGGGCUAAUACCGGAUAGGAGCUCCUGCUGCAUGGUGGGGGUUGGAAAGUUUCGGCGGUUGGGGAUGGACUCGCGGCUUAUCAGCUUGUUGGUGGGGUAGUGGCUUACCAAGGCUUUGACGGGUAGCCGGCCUGAGAGGGUGACCGGCCACAUUGGGACUGAGAUACGGCCCAGACUCCUACGGGAGGCAGCAGUGGGGAAUAUUGCACAAUGGGCGGAAGCCUGAUGCAGCGACGCCGCGUGCGGGAUGACGGCCUUCGGGUUGUAAACCGAUUUCGCCUGUGACGAAGCGUGAGUGACGGUAAUGGGUAAAGAAGCACCGGCUAACUACGUG